rnacentral:rRNA from 1 species
UACAGAGGGGGCAAGCGUUAUUCGGAAUUAUUGGGCGUAAAGGGCGCGUAGGCGGCCGGGUUGGUCGUGGGUGAAAUCCCCCAGCUUAACUGGGGAACUGCCUACGAUACUGCCUGGCUCGAGGGAGGAAGGGGCGGUCGGAACUGUCGGUGGAGCGGUGAAAUGCGUUGAUAUCGACAGGAACGCCGGUGGCGAAAGCGGACCGCUGGCCCUCUUCUGACGCUGAGGCGCGAAAGCCAGGGGAGCGAACGGG